rnacentral:lncRNA from 1 species
CUCAAAUCAGCUGUCUUCUCCUGAAUUACUUUGAAGCCAGCUUCUUGCUUAUACCUAAUACCAGCUAACAGGUUGUCCUGGUGGCCAAAGACGAUCAGCUCCUGGGGCAUGGCUGUAUUGCCUGGUCUAUAUCCUGCAGGAUGCUCCAUGCUCGAAUCCCUCCUAUUGUGUAAUAGUACACCUCCCUCUGAUCAUCUGCGGAACUUUGGGAACUGGGUAUUAUUCUGACUCAUGGGAAUACCUGAAACUGUUGUGGGGGCCAACCUGGAGAAGUCCGCCACACUCAGACUCUCUCAUGGGCCACAACUAAAAACUGGACAAAAAGCAGGAAGCAACCACCUCAAUAACGAGGAAUUCACUAGCAGAGAGACGGAGAAGAGGCCAAAUUGGAAGAACAACAUUUAGGAGCUGUCCUUCAGAGAAACAUAUCUUAAUCUAAGUCCUGAGGAAAUGUGGGAUCUCUGCGGCCUUAUGAAAACACUACUCGAUAAAUAAAAGACAACGGAGGAUAUAGCAAACGUAGUUACUCAGAAAUGAAUAUAAGAGGUAAGUGCUACCUCUACUUAUAUAUUACACAAGGACAAUAUAACUGUUGGAAAUAAGUUUGAAGACUAAUAAUGUCCUAAAUCUGGACAGUGCAAAAUGGUAAGAUGUUUGAAAAAAAAUCUGGAAGAUGCAUGUGAGAAAGACUAAGUAUGCCCA